rnacentral:lncRNA from 8 species
AUGGAAUCAUUUACUAAAUCAUGUAAAUUGGAUCAUUGUGGUCUCACUGUGAACUGUGUCUGUUGUCCUAUAGAGCUGUAUGGACCCUCACUCCUCAUCACACAAACCAACAACAGUCACACCACUCUGUCCUGUUCUGCUACUGGACGACCUGUUCCUAUAGUAACCUGGGAUGACAUGAUGAUAGAACAUUCCACAAUGGUCAAUGUCACCCAUCUCAAUGGUACUGUCACUGUCACCAUAACUUUCACACUGGCAGCAUUCAGUCUACCUGACAAAGACACCAGGGUUGGCUGUGUGGUGUCACUGUUCUCUGGAGGUGUCACCAAGAACGUUUCCAUGGUUAUUCCAGCUAGAACUCAAUCUUCAUUUCCUGAAACUGCUGAGCAUGGUGUUGGUUGAACCAGAGUGGCACUACAAGUCUGAGGCAGAGUUACUGCACAAUGUCUGCUCUGGAGCUCAGCUUACCUACUUAUCUGUUUGUAAAUAUUUAUCUGUCUGUCUGUCAGGCUCUCUGUCUCUGUCUCUCUGUCUGUCUGUACUUUUAGUUUCAAGUUAAGCUUCUACAACUUGAGCAUAGGCUUUGACAUCAAGCUGGUUUCAUAGAAAAUAGACAAACUCAAGGUAACAUCUGAAGAACCCUCCAUAUCAUGACAAUGUAGCCAAUGAAAAUACAGUGACAUUGAAGUGCCUCCACAUGGAAAAGCACUUGACUCUGAAACUGGAACUUCCCCUAUAGAAGGAAUUUGACUUCAACAACGAAUCAAGGAGGAUGAUUCAAACACUUUAUUCAUAGAAAAUACAAAGCUGUUAUCCUAUUCACUUUAUCAAGUUACUUUGUGUGUAAGAGUCAAAUAAAAUACUUCAAAUGUUUUAUUAUCUAUUAUUACUAAGCGUGUAGGGCAGCUGUAACACAGAGCAACUGACUUGGAAAUGUGCUGAUCCCUGUUAGGUAGGUAGGUAGGUGUGUGUGUGUGUGUGUGUGUGUGUGUGUGUGUGUGUGUGUGUGUGUGUGUGUGCGUGUGUGUGUGAGAAAGAGAGGGGGGCAUUGAUCUCCUCUGUGUCAUUACUCUAACUCUGAAAAUAUGAUGAAACGUUAUACUGGCACCAGUUUCUGUUUCUCUUGCAGUUUGAGGUGCCUUGGCCUGGUGCUGAGAUGAUGUCCCCUGGAACACCUGAGCCCCUCACCACAUCUAGUGACGUCGUUUGGACAGGAACUACUACGAAAGGUAGCCUAGCGGUUAGAGCGUUGGGACAGUAACCAAAAGGUCGCUAGUUUGAACUUGAGCAGGGCACUUAACCCUAAUUGUUCCAGGGUCGCCGUUGAUAGUGGCAGACCCUGGCCGGUGUCUCAGGGGGAGUUGGGAUAUGAAAAAAAAACACAUUUCCAAUUCAGACAUGCUUAUAAUACACACUGUGUGAAAUAGGACGAAUAUAAACACCCACCUAAUUAUUAUUAAUCACUACACCUUGGGUCAUCUCUGUAAAUCAGAGUGAUAACACAUUUCAAAUCUUUUCCAUGUUAUUUAUUUAUUUAAAUGUUUUUAUUUGUGUAUUUUGUAUUUAUGUAUUAAUUUAUUAUUUGUGGGAGGCGUCACACUUCAUCGUCUAUUGACGCUUCCAGUUGAGCAUGGAAAGCUUACAUCCAGCAGAUUACAUCCAGCAGAUUACAUUCAGCGGAUUACAUUCAACAGAUUACAUCCAGCAGAUUACAUUCAGCAGAUUACAUUCAGCAGAUUACAUCCAGCAGAUUACAUUCAGCGGAUUACAUUCAGCGGAUUACAUUCAACAGAUUAUAUCCAGCAGAUUACAUUCAGCAGAUUACAUUCAGCAGAUUACAUCCAGCAGAUUACAUUCAGCAGAUUACAUUCAACAGAUUACAUUCAGCAGAUUACAUACACCGUGUUCUAAAACAUUUGCAAGUUCCUGAGGUGGAUGAGGUAAGCAUGGUAUCUAAUGUCCUGUUGGCUUUCAUCCUCAUGGUUUUCUGAGGUACUUGGGCUGCGUCUACACAUGCACCCCCAUUCUGAUCCCUUGCCCAAUCUAAAGACCAAUUCAUUAAAAAAAUAUCUGAAUUGGGCUGCCUGUGUAAAUGCCGCCUUAUUGCAGCCCAAUUCAGAUUUUUUGACAGUUAUUUGCAUAUAUGAUACCUAUCUGUUAUUUUCCUUAAUGUGUAAACAGCAAAAAAACACAUUGAAUCUGAUCUUUUGAUUUCCUAUUUAUAACACCUCCAUAUGUGGAGCAGAAUCCUGAUACAAACCCCAUCCUCCAUAUACGACCUCUGUCUGAAUACUCAGAUUUUUUGUUGUUGGCACGUGACGUUACCAUGACCACCACCCCAAAAUGGAAAGGAGCAGUGACAGGAAAUGAGAAUUGCAUUUCUGUGUGACUUCUGAGUGUGAAUGCCGAAAUCUGAUAUGGGUCUGAAAAAAAGAUUGGAUAUAGAAAGGAAAUCAGAUUUGGGGUCUUAGGCUGAAUGUGUAAACACAGUCAUAUAACUUCAGAGGAAGCACUCUGCUGCAUCUCAGCUGUGAUAUUUGUAACUUCUGAUUGUUCUACAACACACCAUACCUCUAGUCAGCUGCUUAUCAGAACCUUGAAUAGUCAAAUCAGAUGUGGUAGAACUGUGCUGGAGAAAAAAGCCUGCACAACCAUUUUGGCCACCCCUGAUUUAUAUGGACAAAAGUUCCUAUGUCUGAUGAUUUUGCUGUAAAUUAUGUAUUUUUUGAUAACUCACUUUUGCUGACAGGUACAGUAUUUUAGUACUAGGAGUGUCUUCAGUAAACUUUAAAGUAACUAACAAAGUUUAUGUUGAAGAUUGUUGUAUUUUCCAGGAGCUUGCUCGAUUGUCUUGUUAAAAGAGAUCAGGGAAUAAUUUUCCAGUUUAUCCCAUAUUGGCUUAAAUGGGUUUCUGGUUUUUCGCUUCCCUCUGGAAAAUUAGCUCUUAGUAUUUCACAGUAAUAUUGAAUAAAUACUAAUAACUACCUUAUUUCUAUUGCCUUUUGUCAUUAUUGUGUACUUUUACUUCAGAAAGACGACACACCUUAUUAACAGCUUUUUGCAUGUGGAAAUGUUGAGUAAUGUAAAUCAGCUUUUGAUGUAAAACCAUGG